UGGCCGCCUUCUCGGCCAUAGAACGAACAUUCUCCGGACGCAGGCCGCCAUCCUCCUCGAUUCCCGACACGGCCCAGAAUUCUGUCCAGAACGCCUCCCAGAGCCGUGGCCGGCAUGUAUAAUCCUGCCAGCCAUUUAGACCCAAAUAUCCUGUCAUCAGGAAGAGACUGUCUAGCUCAGUGCCGAAGGGCUGCACCGCCGCGAGGGACCAGUCAACAAUGCCUGUGAUUUCAUAUGUGUCUGGAUUGACAAGGAUAUUGGUUUUGGAGAAGUCACCAUGCGCCAGGACCUGAGGGAAUUCACUGGCGAAGAGCAGCGGUAAGAUAGUUUCAAGUUCAGAAAUAAUCAAGAUCCUGCACUCAAUGGCGACGCCUUGAGAAGCAUUAGUCUGUGGGAGAUUCCGGCCUGGUACUCGACGCGCAUCUGAGGCUCCAUACGCUGAGGUGUGGCCCAACACCAAGCAUAGUACCCUGAUAUUGAACUUUAGCAACU
rnacentral:sRNA from 1 species